GAUUCGUAUCGGAAUAUUUGGAAUUAGCUGGAAUUCUGAGAUCCGAGGGAUCAUGUGACGAUCCAUCAAUCAUCUUGAGGAACAUUAUUGCAACGUUUCCUAAUCAAUUCCAUACAAUCAAAUCCGCUCUGGCACGAAUUCUGGCUGCGAAGCCCCACUCUGCUGAUGUCGAAAGGUUGAUAAAUGUGUACAACAAACUCAUGGAUCAAAAUCGACCGUUAUCACCACACACCAUACGACAUUAUCUUUAUGUUUUUACAAACAUGGGCACCCUUAACGACUUUGACCCGUCAUCAGCCGUUGAGCACUGGUUUUCUCAGAAAAAGCGGCGGCCUAAAAGAAGCGAUGAACAUCGUCGACAAGAAUGGUACAACGGUGUGUUCGAAGAAGC